AGAGCAGGCGCCGUGGGUCACCAGUGGGCGUUUGGGUGAUUUUCACGGCAAUUUCCGGCUUCCUCCCCGCCUUGAGGCUCGUCUCUCCCUGGGGAAGAAGUUUCUUGUCCUUCCGUCCUUCGCGCCGGGCGGAUGCGGCGCUUUUGCCCCGGCCGCCGCGGGUUUUUUUGGAAGGGGAUGAACCCCUCCCUCGCCGCUCGCCCCUCGUCUUGUUUUCAUCCCCCGGGCGAAGCGCCGCGACACGGACUUAAUUAGGACGUGAAGUCGUCUUUUCCAUCCCGGAAUAACUUAAAAAUUACAGCCCGGCCCGUCACACCGAAGCCGCUGGUGCGCCGCGGGGAAAAGGGGGGUCGGGCGAAACCGGAGCGGGAUCUCGGGGCGCGCGGGCUCUCGAGCCGAUGCGUGUCGGAAACCGCCGCUGCCGCCGCCGGCGUUCUGCCCCGCUCGGUUUUAUUAGCUACGUAUUUGACCGCGUGUUUUUAUACGUAAGUCUGGGCGCUUAUUAAGCCGUGUGAAAACGCUGUUUGGGGUUUUUUUUCCAAAGAAGGAUUAAAGCAAUUAAAUAUAAACAAAAAUAAAUAGAUAAAAAGUAAAGAAUAAGCAGAAUUAAAAUAUAAAACUGAUUAAAGACGCCYUGCUCGCGCCUCCGACGACACGAACGACCUCGGCGCCUCCCGAACGGCUGCGCGGAGCAAACCGGCGGCAAAUCUGCCUCCCUCCGUGUUUUCGCCGUCCCUUUUUUCCGCCGGAGCCGCGCGUUGGCGGGGCGGCUCUUUCCGGCCGACGGAUCGCCGCGUGGAUUUAAUGGAGUCGCGCGUUUCGCCGGUCGUCCCGUACGCCAGYGACUGGAAACUAGAAUUAGUCGGAAGGGUUUUUUUUUCCCUUGUUGUUUUUUUUAUCCUUUUCCCCCAGGCGCUGCCGCGGCUCGUCCGUCUGUCCGUCCGUCCGUCCGUCGGCGCAGAGAGGUGGCCCGGCCGCGGGAAGAAACGCCGCCCGUUUCCCACGCCUCCUGCGUCCUCUUCUUUAACGACUCGCCGAGCCGCCCCGGCUGGUGGCGCGGGUAUUUUUAGACAGGCGUCUCCAGGAGCGGUGAACAGGAGAGGCUACGGCGUAACUGGGAGGCGAGAGGAGCUCCCGGCGAUGCCAAAAUCCAGCCUGCGCGUGAAAUUUGAGGAUUUAGGAGCGAAGGGCAGGCGAUGA
rnacentral:lncRNA from 1 species